AACGAAGUUAKGGAAGCUUGCUUCUGAUACUUAGUGGCGGACGGGUGAGUAAUGCUUAGGAAUCUGCCUAGUAGUGGGGGAUAACUUGGGGAAACCCAAGCUAAUACCGCAUACGACCUACGGGUGAAAGGGGGCGCAAGCUCUCGCUAUUAGAUGAGCCUAAGUCGGAUUAGCUAGUUGGUGGGGUAAAGGCCUACCAAGGCGACGAUCUGUAGCUGGUCUGAGAGGAUGAUCAGCCACACUGGGACUGAGACACGGCCCAGACUCCUACGGGAGGCAGCAGUGGGGAAUAUUGGACAAUGGGCGAAAGCCUGAUCCAGCCAUGCCGCGUGUGUGAAGAAGGCCUUUUGGUUGUAAAGCACUUUAAGUGGGGAGGAAAAGCUUAUGGUUAAUACCCAUAAGCCCUGACGUUACCCACAGAAUAAGCACCGGCUAACUCU
rnacentral:rRNA from 1 species